AUGGAAGAGUCGCUAUUGAUUUUUUUAGAACUACAUGAACAUUGUUUACAUGGAUGAUUUUAUUUUGGCAUCUUCUAUCGUUGUGCAGCAUUCAUGGUCUUAUACGUGGCGAGAAUAUGGAGCUUGGGCGUGAUUCAGAUACAGGUGGCUAGGUCAAAUAUGUUGUAGAGCUUGCUAGGGCGUUAGGUGAAACACCUGGAGUAUAUAGAGUGGAUCUGCUGACAAGGCAGAUUUCUGCACCUGAUGUUGAUUGGAGUUAUGGGG